rnacentral:rRNA from 1 species
UCCUGGCUCAGAUUGAACGCUGGCGGCAGGCCUAACACAUGCAAGUCGAGCGGCAGCGGGAAAGUAGCUUGCUACUUUUGCCGGCGAGCGGCGGACGGGUGAGUAAUGCCUGGGAAAUUGCCCAGUCGAGGGGGAUAACAGUUGGAAACGACUGCUAAUACCGCAUACGCCCUACGGGGGAAAGCAGGGGACCUUCGGGCCUUGCGCGAUUGGAUAUGCCCAGGUGGGAUUAGCUAGUUGGUGAGGUAAUGGCUCACCAAGGCGACGAUCCCUAGCUGGUCUGAGAGGAUGAUCAGCCACACUGGAACUGAGACACGGUCCAGACUCCUACGGGAGGCAGCAGUGGGGAAUAUUGGACAAUGGGGGCAACCCUGAUCCAGCCAUGCCGCGUGAGUGAUGAAGGCCUUAGGGUUGUAAAGCUCUUUCGUCAGGGAAGAUAAUGACGGUACCUGAAGAAGAAGCCCCGGCUAACUUCGUGCCAGCAGCCGCGGUAAUACGAAGGGGGCUAGCGUUGUUCGGAAUUACUGGGCGUAAAGCGCACGUA